UACAGAGGGUGCGAGCGUUAAUCGGAAUUACUGGGCGUAAAGCGCACGUAGGCGGCUUUGUAAGUUAGAGGUGAAAGCCCGGGGCUCAACUCCGGAAUUGCCUUUAAGACUGCAUCGCUAGAAUUGUGGAGAGGUGAGUGGAAUUCCGAGUGUAGAGGUGAAAUUCGUAGAUAUUCGGAAGAACACCAGUGGCGAAGGCGACUCACUGGACACAUAUUGACGCUGAGGUGCGAAAGCGUGGGGAGCAAACAGG
rnacentral:rRNA from 1 species